ACGAAGGGGGCUAGCGUUGCUCGGAAUUACUGGGCGUAAAGGGCGCGUAGGCGGAUGUUUAAGUCGGGGGUGAAAGCCCGGGGCUCAACCUCGGAAUUGCCUUCGAUACUGGACAUCUUGAGUACGGGAGAGGUGAGUGGAACUCCGAGUGUAGAGGUGAAAUUCGUAGAUAUUGGGAAGAACACCGGUGGCGAAGGCGGCUCACUGGCCCGUAACUGACGCUCAUGCACGACAGCGUGGGGAUCAAACAGGA
rnacentral:rRNA from 1 species